rnacentral:rRNA from 1 species
CUAAGAAUAAGAGGUCCUGCCUGCCCAGUGACGCAAGUUUAACGGCCGCGGUAUUUUGACCGUGCUAAGGUAGCGCAAUCACUUGUCUUUUAAAUGAAGACCCGUAUGAAUGGCAAAACGAGGGCUUAACUGUCUCCUCUAUCCAGUCAAUGAAAUUGAUCUCCCCGUGCAGAAGCGGGGAUAUAACCAUAAGACGAGAAGACCCUAUGGAGCUUCAGACAACAAUACAGCCCACCCCCCUAGAUUCCAAAUAAACGAACACACUUAGUGGCCCCUGUAUUAAUGUCUUCGGUUGGGGCGACCGCGGGGAAAUACAAAACCCCCAUGUGGAAUAAGAGCACUAAACCCCUCAGUCCAUGCUCUUAAAAGCUAGAGGGACACCUCUGACUAACAGAACUUCUGACCUUAAAUGAUCCGGCUUGCCGAUCAACGAACCAAGUUACCCUAGGGAUAACAGCGCAAUCCUCUUUUAGAGCCCAUAUCGACAAGAGGGUUUACGACCUCGAUGUUG